ensembl:lncRNA
CUCCCCCGCCCUCCCUCCACCCUCUUCUCUCCUCUGAAUCGGGGAGGCUGGGAGGCCAAGGUUACCACCAGCACCUUUUCUUAGGAACUGGGAAGCCCGAGUGCAAGAUGAUCGCCAGGCGUUAGAACCGACACAAAGACGCUUCGGGAUCUCCUGGAACCCCGCUCGGGGCACACUGGAUUCACGGUGACCUCGCCGUGGGCACGGGCUGGCGGCCGGCCUCAGCUGCCCAGCGGCACAGCGGGCUCACUCCAGACGAGAACCUCGCACCAGGACCCGCCUCCCUCAACAACCAGAGCGGUGGCCGUGCCCUGUGGGAGGCGGCAAGUGUGUCCGAAGCCCUCAGCGGGCAUUUGGAGGCAGGGCAGCUCAGGCGGAAAGAAGGGGCCUCCCGUCACCUCUACACAAGCCACCGCAGCGUCCAGAAUCCUCGUCCAGGUGCCCGGGCUCCGCCGAGCUCUGACUCCCCGUGGAGACGUGACCGGCGCGCCUGUCCCCCAGGCCCACCUCAGAGCCGCCCUCCGUCCUGCUCCCCGUGCAGCGCUGACCCCCGCUGCCUCCCUCCCCUGUGGACCCAACCCCUCCCCUGAGCCCCUCCCUCUACCCUGCCCGGCGGUCCUGCGUGGUGGCAGCCAACGGCCAGUGCAGAUUCGGGACACGGAUUCGGCGCACACACACACACACACACGCAGACGCACACACGUUCACAUGCCUCCCCCUGGUCCCUGCCCCCCGCCCCGGGCCCCAUCUCCACCCGAGUGGGUCGCAGUGAUCCCCGCCCAAACCUUCCAGGGGGCUCUCGCUGCUCUGAGAAUAACAUCCAAGGUCCCCGGGUGGCCCACAAGGCCCGUGCCAGCCCCCACCCCGGCCGCCCCUGCCCCUGGGCCCCAGCCCCCAGCUCCCCCACCACGGGCCCCUUGCAGGGCACAAACACAGCCACCCGGCUCCCCUGGGCACUCCACCCCCACCCUCGGAAUGGCUCCCUCUCGGCCCCGCAGAGGCCUUGGAAGACCCCCUGCCCGCCCCAGACCCGCCCGUGCCCUCCCCGGACCACUUUCUGCCCUGACCCGUCUCCUUGUUGCAGACGGCUUCCCGCACUCCCGGGGGAGCAGGAGUCUCCCCGCCCUGUUCUUUGAGGGAGACUGGCACCUGGACGGAUGCCCGUCACUCCACAGGUGCUGCGUAAAUAUUUGUGGGAUGCCAGAGCGGGUGUCUGCUGUGUGCCAGGCACGUGCUAACCUCGCUAAAGACAUAGAAUCUCAAGAAAUUGAUCCCCCAACAGCCUGUGUGUGAGGUAGCUGCUGCUCCCAUCCCCGUUGUCCAGGUAGAGAACUGAGGCUCAGAGGGGUCAGGGAGCUUGUCCAAAGUCACACAGCACGGACUCCAGGCCAGGCGUCUGCCUCCAGACCGCGACUCCCGCACGGCCCCGCCGUCUAUGCCGACGCGAACGCUCGGAGCAGACUUGUCCCCCUUCACAGAUGAGGGAGCCAGGGCCUCGGGGUCCCUCUGCGCUGGCCCAGGGGCACACACCUCGGGUCAAGGGGCGCUCAGAGGCCGCCUCAACCCGGCCUGCAGUGUCUCAGCCCCAGAGCCCCCAACCCCCAUUUCUUGGGCCGGAGGGAGGGGCUGUUAGGGUUUGAAUCUUUUCCUGAAGGCAGACGGCCAUCUACGCCCUCCUGCAGCGUGACUUUCAAGAAAUAUCACCUAAUUAAUGGAUUUCUGGCUCUCGGAGCUGCCAGAUCCCCCUCCCGAGACGUCUGGCCACAGCCUGGGUGCUCCCAUAUGCCGGCGGCCCUGCCAGGGGGGGGGGGGGGGGGGUCUGGCACCCACUCCCUGCUCGGCACCCUGGCUGCCAGCUUCUGGUUCCUGCUCGGCCACAGACCCCGAGAGCUGGGCUGCAGCCAGGCGGGCUCCUUCCCGCCGCCCCGGGGCCUGCCUGCUGGGCCCCCCACCACACCCCCCAGGCCUGUGUAGACACGGUCCCUCCCCAGGCUGCACCCCCGGGUCUGCGAGUCAGGAAACAUCCACCACUGUUCCCCUUUCCCCCCCAGCACCCCCUCCGCACCUCGCCAAACAUCCUCAUUCUCUUAAUUAUUGACGAACAGAUUUUUCCCCCAAAUAAUUAGGCAAUUUAAAUCAUACGAUCUUUCUCUAAGAACUAUAUUUAACCCUGAUUUGGAUGUAAUUUGCGGGAGCAGCUCCCUCAAGCAGCUUGGGAAGCCAAGGCAUGGAUCAAAUAUUUUUUAAAUGUCAAAAGCUACGUCGCUGCGGAUCGCACUGAAUCUAUUUGUGC